rnacentral:rRNA from 1 species
CCUACUUGAGGUCGAAGUGAGUGCCGGUUGCUCCAAGGGACCGGGACCGGUCGAGGCGGUGGUAGGGGUACCCGUAGAAGAGCGCGGUCAACUCGGUGCUGGCGUGUGGCGAAACUGGUCGGAAUAGAAUAGCACACUCAACGAAAAGAGGUGAGUAAAAAGAUGAGGUUGUGUCAACGUAGGUAAGGGGUAGAGAGAAGGCGGUAGCAGGCACGCGUCGGCCGCUACUCGUGGCGGCGAGAAAGAGGAGACGUUGGUUGUUCGAGAGCGCUCGAGGGUACCUACCGGAGAGCGCUCCUAGAAGGAGGGGAGAGAUGAGAACGGGGUGUACGCGACCGACGGCGCGCCGAUGUGGUGGCGGUAGGCGCUUGCCGCCGCUGGGCUGCGCCGCUCCGCAAAGUCGAAAAACCGCCGUUUGGUGACUGCCGCCGCGCUGUCUCUACGGUGCCGUAAAAAAGCGACUCUUGUACUACCACGAUCAACUGCUCCCGCCGUUCGGCCUCGGCCGCUGCACUCUAGACGACGUUGGUACCGCGGGCGCUCGAUCUUGGCCGUCCGGAGUCUCGAUGUAGGUAUCACUGGUGCGGGAUGCUAGGUGACCGUCGGCACAACGUUAGGGCCGCCACCCCUUGCCAGGAGCGGCCACGAGCAGUGAGUGCCGGACCUGCUACCCAUCUGCAAUGAACGCCGCUCGCGCCCCCACCCUCCCCACUGCCGGCCGCUGCCGAUCGGCUGCACCUCGACGUUCGUCCUCCGCUACCCCCAGAUGUCCUUCUGCCCUAUUCCUCCUUCGACGACGCCUAGUUUAGUUUGCCGACACGCGAUGACAUAGCCUGCCGUCCCACUGCUGACCGGCUUUGAAAACCCGGCCACGCGGCCGCGGAUAAUGACCGGGAUUUGAACGUGUCAAAAAACUUCUCAAUAUUCUCACGUUAUACAGAACAAAAUCUCAACUCUCUGGCUUUUAUGUUAAAAGAGAUUUAAUUUACCCCACAUGCAUUUUAGAUUAGGGUGAUAAAAAGAUAAGAUUUGGUACCGUUAAAUAACUAGGUUGCCUGUUGUAUUCAAUCAUUUAUAAUACCCGUCCGUUUAAGGUUUUUUUUAUAUAUUUACGUAAAUC